UACGUAGGUGGCAAGCGUUGUCCGGAUUUACUGGGUGUAAAGGGCGUGUAGCCGGGCUGACAAGUCAGAUGUGAAAUCCGGGGGCUCAACCCCCGAACUGCAUUUGAAACUGUUGGUCUUAAGUAUCGGAGAGGCAGGCGGAAUUCCUAGUGUAGCGGUGAAAUGCGUAGAUAUUAGGAGGAACACCAGUGGCGAAGGCGGCCUGCUGGACGACAACUGACGGUGAGGCGCGAAAGCGUGGGGAGCAAACAGG
rnacentral:rRNA from 1 species